GAAUAUAAACUUUAUGUGUGUGCUCUCCUAUCGCCCGGUUAGCCGGGCGUUGGUGCGGCGCCAUGUCUUAACAAUAAACGACUCUCGGCAACGGAUAUCUCGGCUCUCGCAUCGAUGAAGAACGUAGCGAAAUGCGAUACUUGGUGUGAAUUGCAGAAUCCCGUGAACCAUCGAGUUUUUGAACGCAAGUUGCGCCCGAAGCCUCCGGCUGAGGGCACGUCUGCCUGGGCGUCACGCAUCGCGUCUCCCCCAUAAUCCACCUCGGUGGAGGGGAAGGAGGAUGGUUUCCCGCGACUCACCGGUCGCGGCUGGCCUAAAAUCGGAGCCCUCGGCAUCGGGAUGCCGCGGCGAUAGGUGGUGAACAAGGCCUCGGCCGAGCAAGCAACCCGUCGCGCAUGCCGUGCCAACGCGGGCUCGUAGGACCCUUUGUUGUUGUCUUUUAGGCGACCAAACCGUUGCG
rnacentral:rRNA from 1 species